GGGUUUGAUCAUGGCUCAGGACGAACGCUGGCGGCGUGCUUAACACAUGCAAGUCAAGGAGAACGUUUUCUUCGGAAAAUUAUUAAACUGGCGAACGGGUGAGUAACGCGUAGGCAACCUGCCCUAGAGAUUGGGAUAACCCCGGGAAACCGGGACUAAUACCGAAUAAUGCAGCGGAUCCUUUGGGAUACAGUUGUUAAAGUGGGCUUCGGCUCACACUUUAGGAUGGGCCUGCGUCUGAUUAGCUUGUUGGUGAGGUAAUGGCUCACCAAGGCGAUGAUCGGUAGCUGGUUUGAGAGGAUGAUCAGCCACACUGGGAUUGAGAUACGGCCCAGACUCCUACGGGAGGCAGCAGUGGGGAAUUUUGCGCAAUGGGGGAAACCCUGACGCAGCAACGCCGCGUGACCGAUGAAGCUUCUAGGAGCGUAAAGGUCUGUCGUAAGGGAAGAAAAGUUUGGAUGUUAAUAAUGUUCGAACCUGACGGUACCUUACAAGAAAGCACCGGCUAACUUAGUGCCAGCAGCCGCGGUAAUACUAGGGGUGCAAGCGUUGUCCGGAAUCAUUGGGCGUAAAGGGUCCGUAGGCGUCUCAAUAAGUCACUUGUUAAAGACACCGGCUUAACCGGUGGAAUGCAUGUGAAACUGUUGAGAUAGAGUAUAGGAGAGGAAAGUGGAAUUCCUGG
rnacentral:rRNA from 1 species